rnacentral:rRNA from 1 species
UACAGAGGGGGCAAGCGUUGUUCGGAAUUACUGGGCGUAAAGGGCGCGUAGGCGGCCCGCUAAGUCGAACGUGAAAUCCCCGAGCUCAACUCGGGAACUGCGUCCGAUACUGGCGGGCUUGAAUACGGGAGAGGGAAGCGGAAUUCCAGGUGUAGCGGUGAAAUGCGUAGAUAUCUGGAGGAACACCGGUGGCGAAGGCGGCAUCCUGGACAGGCAUUGACGCUGAGGCGCGAAAGCGUGGGGAGCAAACAGG